UCUUAAAAUAUCCAAUAUGGGGGGCGUGUCCUGAACCUUGCCGCGAGACGUAUGUAGUGAGAGCUCCGCACUACUAAGGCCCAUAUUUGAGCAAUUGGAACCCAAAAAAACAAAAAUAAAUCUCACUUGAACAUCACAGGGCACAAUAUAUCACAGCCCAAAUCUAAAAGGGUCACCGAGAGACAGGAGAAAGCGCAGUUCUUCGCACCACGAGCGGGA